CCUACGGGAGGCAGCAGUAGGGAAUCUUCCACAAUGGGCGAAAGCCUGAUGGAGCAACGCCGCGUGGGUGAAGAAGGUCUUCGGAUCGUAAAACCCUGUUGUUAGAGAAGAAAGUGCGUGAGAGUAACUGUUCACGUUUCGACGGUAUCUAACCAGAAAGCCACGGCUAACUACGUGCCAGCAGCCGCGGUAAUACGUAGGUGGCAAGCGUUAUCCGGAUUUAUUGGGCGUAAAGCGAACGCAGGCGGUCUUUUAAGUCUGAUGUGAAAGCCUUCGGCUUAACCGGAGUAGUGCAUCAGAAACGGGGGGACUUGAGGGCAGAAGAGGAGAGGGGAACUCAAUGGGUAGAGGUGGAAUGCGUAGAUAUAUGGAAGAACACCAGUGGCGAAGGCGGCUCUCUGGUCUGUAACUGACGCUGAGGUUCGAAAGCAUGGGUAGCGAACAGGAUUAGAUACCCGAGUAGUC
rnacentral:rRNA from 1 species